UGCUGCGGCUCCUGAAAUCCUCCGGUGUGAACUUCUCCCAGGGCUGUUGAUGCUUCAUCUACUCUUCUGGCAGUGGGGGCCUGGACCUUAGUUACCCGGGGUGCUCACACCAGAAGAGGGCAUUGGAUCCCACUAUAGACUGUUGUGAGCCACCUUGUGGUUGCUGGGAAUUGAACUCAGGACCUCUGGAAGAGCAGUUGGUGCUCUUAACUGCUGAGUCAUCUCUCCAGCCCCAGGUGUUCUGCCCAGUUUAUAGAACAAGGAAUUGAAGCUUGGAGAAGAUUGAUGGACCACUCAAGUUCCCUGGAUGGUCCAGGAUGCAGACUGAGGAUGGCCUAAAACAUUAGUUUUGCUGGCUCCCUGUGCUUGGCUAACCUUAGAGCCUCUUACCUUGCCACAGUCUUUUCUAUGAAGGACAGAGAGCCAAGGAGUGGACCAACAUGCCUGAGUUUACACAGUGGACCUGAGGACCGUCACCUCCCAGUGCAAUGUUCCUGUGUACU
ensembl:antisense 4933431E20Rik RIKEN cDNA 4933431E20 gene